GCAAUGUCAGGAGCUGGGGGAGGACAGGAGUGGGGGGGGCAGCUUGGCUCCCGAGCAGAUUUAUUAUUUACAGGAUAUUAAUCGCUGGGAACAGAGUGCAGCUGGAAACCCUCUAAGUGCCAGCUACAUGCCUCAGAGAACACCCUACUGGUGCAGGACUCUGGGAACAAAGGCUCCCGUAAACACCUCCCGAGGUGUGGAAUCUCUGGGUGCAUCAAGGACCUCACAUCCAGACGCCCAGGUGGUGAAACCUGAGUCGCCGAUUGGCUGGCUGCGCUGUCUCCCGGCCUGAGGACGGUGCGCCGCUGCCUUCCGCACGCAUGGUGAAACUGAGGCACACGGAGUCCGUCACGUGCCCAGCAUCACUCAACUGAGAAGCAGCCCUACUGACCCCAAGUCCACGCUCCUUCCACGGUGACCUGCCGCCUUUCCGUCCCGACGUGAAGGUGGACCAGCAGAGCGAAGGCACCCGCCCCAUCUGAGUGGGUCUGUCCAAUGCCCCACGUGUGCCCACGAGGUGUGCGCUGGGCGAAUCCACACCGUCUGCUGCCUCCGACACGCUGCGGGCGGGCAGGUGGCUGGGCCUUGGAGAGCGGGGAGGCCAACUACGCUGGCCCACCCACGAGCCGGGAGCUCUCCGUGCUCUUAAUCAGUAAGAUAUGUUUCUGGAAUAAAAACCACAUCAGCAUUUUUA